rnacentral:rRNA from 1 species
CAGUAGUCAUAUGCUUGUCUCAAAGAUUAAGCCAUGCAUGUCUAAGUAUAAGUUUUUAUACGGCGAAACUGCGAAUGGCUCAUUACAACAGUUAUAGUUUAUUUGAUGGUCAUUUUUUACAUGGAUAACCAUGGUAAUUCUGUGGCUAAUACAUGCGCACUCACAUUGCCUCUGGUUGUGUGGUGUUUAUUAGAUACCAAACUGACACAUCUUCGGAUGUUUUCCAGAUGAUUCAUAGUAACCGAACGGAUCGCAUUAUGGCUUCGGCUGGCGAUAGAUCAUUCAAGUUUCUGACCUAUCAGCUUUCGACGGUAGGGUAUUGGCCUACCGUGGCAGUGACGGGUAACGGGGAAUUAGGGUUCGAUUCCGGAGAGGGAGCCUGAGAAACGGCUACCACAUCUAAGGAAGGCAGCAGGCGCGCAAAUUACCCAAUGAAAACAGUUUCGAGGUAGUGACGAGAAAUAACAAUACAGGGCAUUAAAUGUCUUGUAAUUGGAAUGACUUAAAUUUAAACCCCUUUCGGAGUAACAAUUGGAGGGCAAGUCUGGUGCCAGCAGCCGCGGUAAUUCCAGCUCCAAUAGCGUAUAUUAGAGUUGUUGCAGUUAAAAAGCUCGUAGUUGGAUUUCUGUUGGGGGCAUCCCGUCCGCCUUUUGGUGUGCAUGGGUCAUCCCUAGCAUUUUCCUGGUUCCCCUUUGCACUUUAUUGUGCUUUGGUUCUCCAGGACGUUUACUUUGAGUAAAAUAGAGUGUUUCAAGCAGGCUUUUGCCUUGAAUACUACAGCAUGGAAUAAUAAGAUAGGACUUUGGCCCUAUUUUGUUGGUUCUAGGACUAAAGUAAUGAUUAAUAGGGACAGUUGGGGGCAUUCGUAUUUAACUGUCAGAGGUGAAAUUCUUAGAUUUGUUAAAGACGCACUACUGCGAAAGCAUUUGCCAAGGAUGUUUUCAUUAAUCAAGAACGACAGUAGGGGGUUUGAAGACGAUUAGAUACCGUCGUAAUCUCUACCAUAAACUAUGCCGACUAGAGAUAGGGAAAUGCCUGUCUUGGCUUCCCCUGCACCUCGUGAGAAAUCAAAGUCUCUGGGUUCUGGGGGGAGUAUGGUCGCAAGGCUGAAACUUAAAGGAAUUGACGGAAGGGCACCACCAGGCGUGGAGCCUGCGGCUUAAUUUGACUCAACACGGGAAAUCUCACCAGGUCCAGACAUGGGAAGGAUUGACAGAUUGAUAGCUCUUUCUUGAUUCUAUGGGUGGUGGUGCAUGGCCGUUCUUAGUUGGUGGAGUGAUCUGUCUGGUUAAUUUCGAUAACGAACGAGACCUUAGCCUGCUAAAUAGGAUCGGGAAUUUUAUUCUCGCAUCACUUCUUAGAGGGACUUUGCACGUCUAGUGCAAGGAAGUUUGAGGCAAUAACAGGUCUGUGAUGCCCUUAGAUGUUCUGGGCUGCACGCGCGCUACACUGACGCAUCCAACAAGUUUCUCCCUUGGCCGAUAGGUCUUGGAAAUCUUGUGAGUGUGCGUCGUGAUGGGGAUAGAUUAUUGCAAUUAUUAAUCUUCAACGAGGAAUGCCUAGUAGGCGCAAGUCAACAGCUUGCGCCGAUUACGUCCCUGCCCUUUGUACACACCGCCCGUCGCUGCAACCGAUCGGAGGGUCCUGUGAAUUUGUUGGACUGUUCAUUAGUGCUUUUGCUCUUUUGAUCGGAAAGAUAUGUAAACAGCGCCUUCUAAAGGAUGCAAAAGUCGUAACACGGUUUCCGUAGGUGAACCUGCAGAAG